rnacentral:rRNA from 1 species
GAGGGUGACAGGUGGUGCAUGGUUGUCGUCAGCUCGUGUCGUGAGAUGUUGGGUUAAGUCCCGCAACGAGCGCAACCCUCGACCUUAGUUGCCAGCAUUCAGUUGGGCACUCUAAGGUGACUGCCGGCUAAAAGUCGGAGGAAGUGGGGAUGACGUCAAAUCAUCAUGCCCCUUAUGACCUGGGCUACACACGUGCUACAAUGGGCGGUACAAAGGGUCGCGAACCCGCGAGGGGGAGCCAAUCCCAAAAAGCCGCUCUCAGUUCGGAUUGCAGGCUGCAACUCGCCUGCAUGAAGCCGGAAUCGCUAGUAAUCGCGGAUCAGCAUGCCGCGGUGAAUACGUUCCCGGGCCUU